UACAGAGGUCCCAAGCGUUGUUCGGAUUUACUGGGCGUAAAGGGCGCGUAGGCGGCUUGACAAGUCACUUGUGAAAUCUCCGGGCUUAACUCGGAACGGCCAAGUGAAACUGUCAUGCUAGAGUGCAGAAGGGGCAAUCGGAAUUCUUGGUGUAGCGGUGAAAUGCGUAGAUAUCAAGAGGAACACCUGAGGUGAAGACGGGUUGCUGGGCUGACACUGACGCUGAGGCGCGAAAGCCAGGGGAGCAAACGGG
rnacentral:rRNA from 1 species